UUAAGGCCCUCUGGGUUGUAAACACCUUUUACUUCGUGGGAAAGAAAUUGCAGUUUUUCUAAAAUAGCUUGACGGUACCAGAGGAAUAAGCACCGGCUAACUCCGUGC
rnacentral:rRNA from 1 species